CUGUCAAGUGUCGGUGUCGGUAGUGUAAGAAACUUCUGGUGUAUAUGGAUAUUGUGUGGCUCCAGAAAAGCAGAUAAAAUGCAUACAGUGCCGUGCCGUUACUACGGGGUCGUUAUAAUCAGGAAAGGAGUAUAUUUAUUUCUGGUGGAGAUUUAAGAUGUAUUUUGAAUUUAAAAUAUAGUAGGUAAAAUAAUAAUAUAAAGUUAAAUGAAAAA
rnacentral:lncRNA from 1 species